rnacentral:rRNA from 1 species
AUGUGCACAAGAAACCUCCUUUCUUCUCACCACAGCAGGAAGGAAACCCACCCUCCUACGUCGGCAAAGAUCAGAUCAAUGGGUCAGGCCGUCGCCAAGGCAAAGCAAGAGGCCGGGCGGGCUACGCAGAAGGCCGACAAGGACGGCAAGGCUGUGGCCAACCAUAAUAACGCCAAGGAGCAGCUCAUCGAAUUUAUGGAUAAGAACUAUGAUAAAGUCGAGCCUACGAAAACCUUCGAUGAGUUUUACCACGCCAUCUUCGAACUCAUCGAGAAUUCUCAUUUGAUUCCUACGCCUUUACGGAUUAAAAGUUCACGCAUGCGUAUAAACAGACAGUUUUGUGAGGAACAAGGGCAGCUGCAGUACAGGAUGCCAUCAAAAGAUAAACUCGCGGAAGUGUACAAGGCUCUUAGGAAACCGGAUGGAGUAAACCUCACCAAGGGUCAGUUCCACACGAUCACUGAGAACCUCGUCACGGUGCACAGCUUCAGCUUCGGCAAAGCCGCCUUCGACGUGCUCGUGGUCCUCUUCGGCGCGCCGAUGUGCGCGCUCCUCGUCAAGAGGGUCGUCCCCGGUCUCAAGUCCUUCUCCGACGACGUCGUCAUCCCCGUGGCCACCUCCGGCGCCGUCGUGUACCUGGCCAAGACCAACAAGCUGUGA